rnacentral:rRNA from 1 species
GACGAACGCUGGCGGCGUGCUUAACACAUGCAAGUCGAACGGAAAGGCCCUGCUUUUGUGGGGUGCUCGAGUGGCGAACGGGUGAGUAACACGUGAGUAACCUGCCCUUGACUUUGGGAUAACUUCAGGAAACUGGGGCUAAUACCGGAUAGGAGCUCCUGCUGCAUGGUGGGGGUUGGAAAGUUUCGGCGGUUGGGGAUGGACUCGCGGCUUAUCAGCUUGUUGGUGGGGUAGUGGCUUACCAAGGCUUUGACGGGUAGCCGGCCUGAGAGGGUGACCGGCCACCUUGGGACUGAGAUAAGGCCCAGACUCCUACCGGAGGCAAGAGUGGGGAAUAUUGCACAAUGGGGGGGAGCCUGAUGGAGCAACGCCGCGUGCGGGAUGACGGGCUUCGGGUUGGAAACCGCUUUCGCCUGUGACGAAGCGUGAGUGACGGUAAUGGGUAAAGAAGCACCGGCUAACUACGUG